rnacentral:rRNA from 1 species
UACGAGGGGGGCAAGCGUUGUUCGGAAUUAUUGGGCGUAAAGGGCGCGUAGGCGGCGUCGCAAGUCCGUGGUGAAAUCUCUAGGCUCAACUUAGAGACUGCCGCGGAAACUGCGGUGCUUGAGUGUGGGAGAGGUGCGUGGAAUUCCCGGUGUAGCGGUGAAAUGCGUAGAUAUCUGGAGGAACACCGGUGGCGAAGGCGGCGUUCUGGACUGCAACUGACACUGAGGAACGAAAGCCAGGGGAGCAAACGGG